rnacentral:rRNA from 1 species
AGGGGAAAGAACCAACAGGGAUUGCCUUAGUAACGGCGAGUGAAGCGGCAACAGCUCAAAUUUGAAAUCUGGCUCCCUUGGGGGCCCGAGUUGUAAUUUGUAGAGGAUGCUUCGGCGUGGGCCCCGGUCUAAGUUCCUUGGAACAGGACGUCACAGAGGGUGAGAAUCCCGUACGUGGCCGUGGGUGCUCGCCAUGUGAAGCUCCUUCGACGAGUCGAGUUGUUUGGGAAUGCAGCUCUAAAUGGGAGGUAAAUUUCUUCUAAAGCUAAAUACUGGCCAGAGACCGAUAGCGCACAAGUAGAGUGAUCGAAAGAUGAAAAGCACUUUGGAAAGAGAGUCAAAAAGUACGUGAAAUUGUUGAAAGGGAAGCGCUUGCAACCAGACCUGCCUGCGGUUGCUCAUCCGGGCUCUUGCCCGGUGCACUCUUCCGCAGUCAGGCCAGCAUCAGCUCUGGCGGUCGGAUAAAGGCGGCGGGAAUGUGGCUCCCCUCGGGGAGUGUUAUAGCCCGCCGUGCAAUGCGGCCAGCCGGGACUGAGGUCCGCGCUUCGGCUAGGAUGCUGGCGUAAUGGUUGUAAGCGGCCCGUCUUGAAACACGGACCAAGGAGUCUAACAUCUGUGCGAGUGUUUGGGUGUCAAGCCCAGGCGCGUAAUGAAAGUGAACGGAGGCGGGAACCUUCGGGUGCACCGUCGACCGAUCCUGAUGUCUUCGGAUGGAUUUGAGUAAGAGCAUAGCUGUUGGGACCCGAAAGAUGGUGAACUAUGCCUGAAUAGGGUGAAGCCAGAGGAAACUCUGGUGGAGGCUCGCAGCGGUUCUGACGUGCAAAUCGAUCGUCAAAUUGGGCAUAGGGGCGAAAGACUAAUCGAAACUAUCUAGUAGCUGGUUCCUGCCGAAGUUUCCCCUCAGGAUA